rnacentral:rRNA from 1 species
GUCUACGGCCAUACCACGCUGAAUGAGCCCAAUCUCGUCUGAUCUCGGAAGUUAAGCAGGGUCAGGGCUGGUUAGUACUUGGAUGGGAGAC